UUGAACGCUGGCGGCAGGCCUAACACCUGCAAGUCGAGCGGAUGAAGGGAGCUUGCUCCUGGAUUCAGCGGCGGACGGGUGAGUAAUGCCUAGGAAUCUGCCUGGUAGUGGGGGAUAACGUCCGGAAACGGGCGCUAAUACCGCAUACGUCCUGAGGGAGAAAGUGGGGGAUCUUCGGACCUCACGCUAUCAGAUGAGCCUAGGUCGGAUUAGCUAGUUGGUGGGGUAAAGGCCUACCAAGGCGACGAUCCGUAACUGGUCUGAGAGGAUGAUCAGUCGCACUGGAACUGAGACACGGUCCAGACUCCUACGGGAGGCAGCAGUGGGGAAUAUUGGACAAUGGGCGAAAGCCUGAUCCAGCCAUGCCGCGUGUGUGAAGAAGGUCUUCGGAUUGUAAAGCACUUUAAGUUGGGAGGAAGGGCAGUAAGUUAAUACCUUGCUGUUUUGACGUUACCAACAGAAUAAGCACCGGCUAACUUCGUG
rnacentral:rRNA from 1 species